UAGCAAAUAAAUUAAAAAAAAAUAACAGAAAAACAGGGAAGAAAAACUUAAUCUCGUGUUUAAACAAUUGAAGUAUGUUUUUGAGUUGACUCUUAUGUAACACACCAUUUUCUUGAUUUGCCAGAUCCUUCCUACAUAAAUAUAACAUUCGAAUGGAAUUUUACUAAAGUUUCUCCCUA